rnacentral:rRNA from 1 species
CAUCUUAGUGGCGCACGGGUGAGUAACACGUGGGCAACCUACCCGGGAGUUCGGGAUAACAGUGCGAAAGUACUGCUAAUACCGGAUAUUUUCACGAAGCUGCAUGGUUUUGUGAAGAAAGUUUUUCGCUUCCGGAUGGGCCCGCGUCCCAUUAGCUAGUUGGUGAGGUAACAGCUCACCAAGGCGACGAUGGGUAGCUGGUCUGAGAGGACGAUCAGCCACACUGGAACUGAGACACGGUCCAGACUCCUACGGGAGGCAGCAGUGGGGAAUCUUGCGCAAUGGGCGGAAGCCUGACGCAGCAACGCCGCGUGAAUGAUGAAGGCCUUCGGGUUGUAAAGUUCUGUCAGGGGGGACGAUAAUGACGGUACCCCCGGAGGAAGCCCCGGCUAACUACGUGCCAGCAGCCGCGGUAAUACGUAGGGGGCGAGCGUUGUCCGGAAUUAUUGGGCGUAAAGGGCGUGUAGGCGGCCGAUCAAGUCUGGUGUGAAAAUCCGGGGCUUAACCCCGGAAGUGCAUUGGAAACUGGUUGGCUUGAGUGCGGGAGAGGAAAGUGGAAUUCCCAGUGUAGCGGUGAAAUGCGUAGAUAUUGGGAGGAACACCAGUGGCGAAGGCGACUUUCUGGACUGCAACUGACGCUGAGGCGCGAAAGCUAGGGGAGCAAACAGGAUUAGAUACCCUGGUAGUCCUAGCCGUAAACGAUGGGUACUAGGUGUAGGGGGUUUAGACGCCCUCUGUGCCGCAGUUAACGCACUAAGUACCCCGCCUGGGGAGUACGGCCGCAAGGCUGAAACUCAAAGGAAUUGACGGGGGCCCGCACAAGCGGUGGAGCAUGUGGUUUAAUUCGAAGCAACGCGAAGAACCUUACCAAGGCUUGACAUGUACCUGACGGUUCUGUGAAAGCAGGCUUUCUUUUCGGAGACGGGUACACAGGUGGUGCAUGGUUGUCGUCAGCUCGUGUCGUGAGAUGUUGGGUUAAGUCCCGCAACGAGCGCAACCCUUGUUCUUAGUUGCCAGCGGUUCAGCCGGGCACUCUAAGGAGACUGCCGGUGACAAACCGGAGGAAGGUGGGGAUGACGUCAAAUCAUCAUGCCCUUUAUGUCUUGGGCUACACACGUGCUACAAUGGCCAGUACAAUGGGUUGCCAAGGGGCGACCUGGAGCCAAUCCCAUAAAACUGGUCUCAGUUCGGAUUGCAG